rnacentral:rRNA from 1 species
GACGAACGCUGGCGGCGUGCUUAACACAUGCAAGUCGAACGGAAAGGCCCUGCUUUUGUGGGGUGCUCGAGUGGCGAACGGGUGAGUAACACGUGAGUAACCUGCCCUUGACUUUGGGAUAACUUCUGGAAACUGGGGCUAAUACCGGAUAGGAGCUCCUGCUGCAUGGUGGGGGUUGGAAAGUUUCGGCGGUUGGGGAUGGACUCGCGGCUUAUCAGCUUGUUGGUGGGGUAGUGGCGUACCAAGGCUUUGACGGGUAGCCGGCCUGAGAGGGUGACCGGCCACAUUGGGACUGCGAUACGGCCCAGACUCCUACGGGAGGCAGCAGUGGGGAGUAUUGCACAGUGGGCGGAAGCCUGAUGCAGCAACGCCGCGUGCGGGAUGACGGCCUUCGGGUUGUAAACCGCUUUCGCCUGUGACGAAGCGUGAGUGACGGUAAUGGGUAAAGAAGCACCGGCUAACUACGUG